UCCGAGUUGACCCCGGCAGUCUCCUAUGAGUCCCCGCCAUAACGCGCUGGCAACAUAGAACGAGGGUUGCGCUCGUUGCGGGACUUAACCCAACAUCUCACGACACGAGCUGACGACAACCAUGCACCACCUGUGAACCGACCGCAAGCGGGGCACCUGUUUCCAGGUAUUUCCAGUCCAUGUCAAGCCUUGGUAAGGUUCUUCGCGUUGCAUCGAAUUAAUCCGCAUGCUCCGCCGCUUGUGCGGGCCCCCGUCAAUUCCUUUGAGUUUUAGCCUUGCGGCCGUACUCCCCAGGCGGGGCACUUAAUGCGUUAGCUACGGCGCGGAAAACGUGGAAUGUCCCCCACACCUAGUGCCCAACGUUUACGGCAUGGACUAC
rnacentral:misc_RNA from 1 species